rnacentral:tRNA from 1 species
AACUGGAUAGCCUAGUGGUCAAAGGCAGCACUUCUAGCAAUUGUGAGGUCCCAGGUUUGAAUCCUGGUCUAUUCA